CAUUCAAAAGUUUUUUGCUGGUUUUUGUUGUAUUCGGUUGUAUUUCGCGUUUUUGAAAUACACGAAAAUACAAAAUUUAGCAGAGUAAAAAUAGGCAGUAUUUAUGGAACAUAUUCUCUUCUUUCAUUUUAAAUGGUAAGUCAAAUUAAAUCAACCAUAUAUCACGCAUAACGGCUGAAGUUUCAUAACAACCCACGUUUCUCUCUCCAAAUUACUCCAUUCCAGACUUUUAGAAAUACUUCCAAAUACAUAAAAAUAUACACUGGAAUACAAUCAAAUAUGGUUGAUUGUUUAAGAAAUAUAAAAUUGUAGUAUGCGUAUAUACAAUGGAAUACAAUGAAAUGUAUCAGAAACUAUUUCGUAAAUUAGAAAUACAUUGAAAUAUAGCGAAAUAUACUGAAACAAGAUAAUCGAAAUGUCUUCGAAACAAGACAUUGAAAUACACUAAAAAAAUGACGAAUAUACAUUUUCUCCUUCGAAAUACAAAGCGAAUAUAAAAAAAUACACUAUAACAAAAAAAAAAAAAAAAAAAAUUACAACCACCACAACUCUACCUUGAUACUUCUAAAAGCUACGAGUUUUUAUGUGCAUUGCAGUGUCCUUUUUCUAACAUGCUGCUUGGAUAAUUACUUAUCACUAGCUUCACAUCACAUGCCAACAAAGAGACUUGAAUAAACAAAGUUAAUCUGAAAUUUGUUGUAGGUUUUUCCACAAUUAAAACACUUCUAAGAUUCACCAAUUUUGCUGUAUAAAUCUGAUAUACUAUCUGCGUCGGGGUUAUUAUCUGAAGAACUAGAAGCUUAAGGUUUUUUUCGAGUUUGGAGAUGGAGAUGGUAGUUAUAGUGGUGGUGGUGGUGUUGACGGCGGCGUGGGUGGUGUAGAUAGAGAAGGGAGGGAGGGGUACGUGAGGGGAAGGAGAAUAGAGGCUGGAGAUAGAGAAGGGGAGGGAGAGAGGCGGCAGUGAGGGGAAGGGGAGAGAGGAGAGACAAUUUUUUUUAGGGUUUGGAGAAGAUGAUAAAUCUUAAAUGUGUAGUAAGGGAGAAUACAGAGGUACAUGUAUUUCAAAAGUUACUGGACCAGUUAUGAAAUGUAAUUUUGGAAAAAUAAAGCUAUAAAAAUUAAAUAAAAAAUAAGGUAGUUAUUAUUCAUAAAUAAGUCUUAGAGAUAGCUAUGACAGGUAAAUUUUCCA